GCGCGAUUAGAGCGGCCGAUGCCUGAUUAGCUUGUUGGUGGGGUAAAAGCCCACCAAGGCGACGAUCAGUAGCUGGUCUGAGAGGAUGAUCAGCCACAUUGGGACUGAGACACGGCCCAAACUCCUACGGGAGGCAGCAGUGGGGAAUCUUGCACAAUGGAGGAAACUCUGAUGCAGCGAUGCCGCGUGAGUGAAGAAGGCCCUUGGGUUGUAAAGCUCUUUCGUCGGGGAAGAAAAUGACUGUACCCGAAUAAGAAGGUCCGGCUAACUUCGUGCCAGCAGCCGCGGUAAUACGAAGGGACCUAGCGUAGUUCGGAAUUACUGGGCUUAAAGAGUUCGUAGGUGGUUGAAAAAGUUGGUGGUGAAAUCCCAGAGCUUAACUCUGGAACUGCCAUCAAAACUUUUCAGCUAGAGUAUGAUAGAGGAAAGCAGAAUUUCUAGUGUAGAGGUGAAAUUCGUAGAUAUUAGAAAGAAUACCAAUUGCGAAGGCAGCUUUCUGGAUCAUUACUGACACUGAGGAACGAAAGCAUGGGUAGCGAAGAGGAUUAGAUACCCUCGUAGUCCAUGCCGUAAACGAUGUGUGUUAGACGUUGGAAAUUUAUUUUCAGUGUCGCAGCGAAAGCGAUAAACACACCGCCUGGGGAGUACGACCGCAAGGUUAAAACUCAAAUGAAUUGACGGGGACCCGCACAAGUAGUGGAGCAUGUGGUUUAAUUCGAAGAUACGCGCAGAACCUUACCAACACUUGACAUGUUCGUCGCGACUCUAAGAGAUUAGAGUUUUCGGUUCGGCCGGACGAAACACAGGUGCUGCAUGGCUGUCGUCAGCUCGUGUCGUGAGAUGUUGGGUUAAGUCCCGCAACGAGCGCAACCCUCACUUUUAGUUGCCAUCAUUAAGUUGGGCACUCUGAAAGAACUGCCAGUGAUAAGCUGGAGGAAGGUGGGGAUGACGUCAAGUCCUCAUGGCCCUUACGUGUUGGGCUACACACGUGCUACAAUGGUAUCUACAACAGGAAGCAAGACUGCGAAGUUAAGCAAAUCCCUAAAAGAUACCUCAGUUCGGAUUGCACUCUGCAACUCGAGUGCAUGAAGCUGGAAUUACUAGUAAUCGUGGAUCAGCGUGCCACGGUGAAUGCGUUCCCGGGUCUUGUACACACCGCCCGUCACACCAUGGGAGUUGGUUCUACCUUAAGGCAAGGUUUCAAACCCUUGACCACGGUAUAGUCAGCGACUGGGGUGAAGUCAUAACAAGGUAGCCGUA
rnacentral:rRNA from 1 species